rnacentral:lncRNA from 1 species
UGGGAGGGGUAACUGGGGACUCGAGCUCAGUGAUGACGCGACUCUCACGUGACCAGGAGUCGACGUGUGCAGAAGUCCUUAUAGUCCAGGGCCUGUUUCCCUGUAGCAGCUCCCUAUUGCUGGAGAAGGAGAAAAGUGCCCAAGAUCCUUUCAGGAUAUUUGGUUUUUUGGGCGCGACACAAAUCGAGGUGAGGGAAGAGAGAGGAAAAUCCCCUGAAUCCCUGCAGGAUUAAUUUAUUCAAAAGGACAAUUAAAAAUACUUUCAAUAUUGCAAAAGUCUUGAAGAAAAUGAGGGAAAAAUCCACAGAACUGCAAAGGCCGAGGAAGAUCGCACCUUUGGAGGAUUGUACCACAGGAGGCAGAAGGAAUCCUCAACUUCUUGAAGUGAAUGGUAUUAAGCCAGAGCAGAAGGAAACCCCAGAGGAGAGCCGAAUCAGCCGGCCAGGGAUUUAAAGAGACACACCUGUUAGGCAUUUGAUACCCGGGAGAGAACGAUGAUAGAGGGUAGAUGAGCGU